UACAGAGGGGGCAAGCGUUGUUCGGAAUUACUGGGCGUAAAGGGCGCGUAGGCGGCCUUCUAAGUCGAACGUGAAAUCCCCGGGCUCAACCCGGGAACUGCGUCCGAUACUGGAAGGCUUGAAUCCGGGAGAGGGAUGCGGAAUUCCAGGUGUAGCGGUGAAAUGCGUAGAUAUCUGGAGGACACCGGUGGCGAAGGCGGCAUCCUGGACCGGCAUUGACGCUGAGGCGCGAAAGCCAGGGGAG
rnacentral:rRNA from 1 species